AAAAUAUAUUUUUUUUCUUAUUUAUGAAUUUUGUUUUUGCUUAUUUUAUUAACAGCUGGUAGUUUGGGGAAAGUUUUUUGUUUUUUUUAAUGUCCCAAAGUCACAAAUGUCAAAUUACAGAAAUCAUGUGGAUGCUGAAAGUAAAAAAAAAAAAAAAAAAUCAUAUUACUUCUUACUACUGAGCAGACUCUUUAACUUUGAGAUAAAGUUGAAAGCUACUUAUUCAGCGUGAAAGUUAAUUCUUGAUGCUGGAAAUAGUGCAAAACAAAUACACAUAAACGAAUCUUAAAGGCCUAUACUGAUUACUACAGUUGCAAACUCAUAAAAAAGUUAUUAAGAAGACGUUGAGUAAAAUGAUGUGCAUUUAUCACAAACAAAACAUUCAGUCAGUGUGACAUGGUUUCCAUAUAUUAUACUGUAUUUUAUUAUAGUUCUUUACAUAUUUAUACACUGCACUGACUAUGGAUGAUAUGUAUAGUAUUAUUAAAACAGGCUACAACCUUUACAAUUUUUUAAUUUUAUUGGAAAAUUAUUUUUAGUAUUUUCCCUUUGAUUGAGAAUAUCAGGACAGAUUCAGUGAAGAGGAGGGAAAGGGAAAUAUUUGGAUUGCUUGUUUAGUUCGUUCUAAAACAAAUCUUUCAGUUACAGAUCCUCAAAACUUGAUAAAGUUAAACUCAUUCCUUCCCCCCAUCUGUGACUUCAUUGUACAAAAGGGAAGUGACACAUUUAUUCAAACCAAUGAAUAAAGAACUUCAACUUCAGUCUUACAGGAAGGAUUUUUUAACAGUUAGCUGUGAACUUGAAAUAAGUUCUCUUUCAGACUCACUGAGGGUCACAACAGUAAAAUGUCUGAGGCUGAUGGAAUAGUGUACUCUGAUGUUAGGUUCACAAGACCGAAGAGAAACACCAGUGGGACCGCUUCCUCAGAGGCUGAACCCACAUACUCUGAAGUCAGGAUCUUGAAGACUCAUCCAUCCACAGAGCUCCCUGGUGGGUAAAACACUGUUCUGUAAAUGAGAAGGUGAACUGUG
rnacentral:lncRNA from 15 species